GGCGGCAGGCCUAACACAUGCAAGUCGAGCGCACCUUCGGGUGAGCGGCGGACGGGUGAGUAACGCGUGGGAAUAUGCCCUUUUCUACGGAAUAGCCUCGGGAAACUGAGAGUAAUACCGUAUACGCCCUUCGGGGGAAAGAUUUAUCGGAAAAGGAUUAGCCCGCGUUGGAUUAGGUAGUUGGUGGGGUAAUGGCCUACCAAGCCGACGAUCCAUAGCUGGUUUGAGAGGAUGAUCAGCCACACUGGGACUGAGACACGGUCCAAACUCCUACGGGAGGCAGCAGUGGGGAAUCUUAGACAAUGGGGGAAACCCUGAUCUAGCCAUGCCGCGUGAGUGAUGAAGGCCCUAGGGUCGUAAAGCUCUUUCGCCAGGGAAGAUAAUGACGGUACCUGGUAAAGAAGUCCCGGCUAACUCCGUGCCAGCAGCCGCGGUAAU
rnacentral:rRNA from 1 species